rnacentral:rRNA from 1 species
AAUCAACGCUGGCGGCGUGCCUCAGACAUGCAAGUCGAACGCGAAAGGUUCCUUCGGGAACCGAGUAGAGUGGCGCACGGGUGAGUAACACGUAGGUAAUUUGCCUUUGGGUGGGGAAUAACAGCCGGAAACGGCUGCUAAUACCGCAUAAUGCAGCGGCUCGACAUCGAGACAGUUGUUAAAGCGGGGGAUCGCAAGACCUCGCGCCUAAAGAGAAGCCUGCGGCAGAUUAGCUAGUUGGUAGGGUAAUGGCCUACCAAGGCGACGAUCUGUAACCGGCCUGAGAGGGCGGUCGGUCACACUGACACUGACAUACGGGGUCAGACUCCUACGGGAGGCAGCAGUCGGGAAUUUUGGGCAAUGGGCGAAAGCCUGACCCAGCAACGCCGCGUGAAGGAUGAAAUCCCUCGGGAUGUAAACUUCGCAAGAAUGGGAAGAAUAAGUGUGGGCUAAUA